rnacentral:rRNA from 1 species
GGAUUAGAUACCCUGGUAGUCCACGCCGUAAACGAUGAGUACUAGCCGUUGGGUCUUUCAAGACUUAGUGGCGUAGCUAACGCGUUAAGUACUCCGCCUGGGGAAUACGGCCGCAAGGCUAAAACUCAAAGGAAUUGACGGGGACCCGCACAAGCGGUGGAGCAUGUGGUUUAAUUCGAUGCAACGCGAAAAACCUUACCUGCUCUUGACAUCCACAGAAUAGUUAAGAAACUAACUAGUGCCUUCGGGAACUGUGAGACAGGUGCUGCAUGGCUGUCGUCAGCUCGUGCCG